AUUCUACCUGCAGAGUAAUGAAUGGAGAUACUGUGCUUGCAUGCAUCUGAAGAAUGAACAUGCAGUAGAGGCAUCAUGCGUGCGCGCGCACUCGCUCCUGCCGCGUGACGUCAGCGCGCUGGGCGGGGCGCUGUCCGAGGUGCUUCUGCUCCUCGCUGGGAGAGGGAGAUAGCGAGGGAGUGCGCGCGCGCGCUGGCGAGGGACAGCUCCUGCUCAUCUUCUGCUCAUCUCCUGCUCCACCGGGACCAUGGCACCCUCACCCCCGGUCCUCGCGCUCCUCCUGGCCGGGCACGCGCUCGGCGUCGCCGCCGCCGCGCUCCGGACGAUACGAUACGGUUGUCUCUUUGAAGAUGAUUUAUGCGAGCCGUAUGAAGUUUGCGCUAACGACUUUGUGAACCGCCCUGCUCGAGAUCCACCCCCACCCCCCCCCACUCCACACAAAUCUCCCGUCCAAUUAUAGAGCGUUCCACAUGAUUAGAAAU
rnacentral:lncRNA from 1 species